CGUGUAGGCGGCCAAACAGGUCCGUUGUGAAAACUGGAGGCUCAACCUCCAGACGUCGACGGAAACCGUAUGGCUAGAGUCCGGAAGAGGAGAGUGGAAUUCCUGGUGUAGCAGUGAAAUGCGCAGAUAUCAGGAAGAACACCUAUGGCGAGGGCAGCUCUCUGGGACGGUACUGACGCUGAGACGCGAAAGCGUGGGGAGCGAACA
rnacentral:rRNA from 1 species